UUCAAGAAUAAGUCGUAAUUGGUUUCAAUCGGAAAAUGAAGUUGUCGAUAAUUAUUUGGUUGUUCAGUUGCGUUUCACUGUCAAUGCAGUAUGAUUGCUUUUGGAGCGGAUGUGAAGGACUCUUUCACAGAGGCGUAGUUAUAUGUAAGAGAUAUGGUGCUCUUUACUCCGGAGGAACUAGCAGUCAAGGAUGCAAGUGGGACACGACUAAAGUGCAGUGUUGCAGAGAAGAUCAAUCGAAGCCUGGAUGUAAAUGGACGGGGACGUGUUACGGAGGUGUAUACAAACCUAGUAAAGCAUGUAAAAACGAAUUUGGAGCGAACUUUAAGCCUUCAGGGAGAAGUUUAAGCUGUAAUGGUACAACGCUUAGAACUACUUUCGAAUGCUGUCCACAAUAAGACAAAGAUGACAUAAACAUUUCGGUCGCCGUCUCUGCUGAUCUAGUUUUAAUAUCACAUUGUUCAAAAAAAAAAUUAUACCAACAGGAAAGGUGAUACUUUUGCCCCGCAUAUGAGGGGUGAAAGUAAAAAAAUACAGCCCGGUGCGAAAGUUGCUACUAAACGCGUUCACUUAUAUAUACCAUGCACUCAUAGAAAUAGUAGAUUUGAAAUGCUUUGCAAACUGUUACUUUGAGUAAAUUUUGUUUUUAAGUAUAGAUUGUGAGACAUGGGUACACGAGUCAAAAUAACAGUUUCCAAACCGAGUUUCAUAAGAACGCACAAAUUCCGAGUAUAAUAAAUUACUUCCAAGCAUCUAGUAGAUAUUACAUUGGUGUCCAUAAAAUGUUUUCCAUGCCAAUCCAUUUAUUAAAAAAAAUAUUAAUUGACUGUGCGAUAGCUUUUGAGUUCAGAGUUGAUAAAGGAUUGGUCACCCGACGAAAACACGUUAAAAACGUUUUUUAAAAGAAGUGGAAAUGUUCAUAUGGCUGUGUUGGGGGACAUUCAUAAAUUGUGUAACGCCAAAAUUCGGAUUUUUUGACAACGAUAAUGUCACGCAAUAUCAAUACUCCCCUUUGUGAGUUAUGUCACGUAAUCAAAAGAAAACGAAAUUUACGUGAUUAGGCACUGUAAAUGCAUAUCAGUCAAAAACACUCAAAGAGUAAAAGUGACGCAAGUCCCUGGGCAUACUUCCAAAACAACUGAUAUCGCUGUAGGUGACGCAUUCUGCGCUUGUAAGGUAAGCGAGAUUGUAGCUGACCAGCUAAGCAAUUUUUCAACUUUGGUCAUCAGUAUCUCAGGAUGAUUUCGAUGAAGCUAAGUUUUUCCUU